UACUCCCUUCGUUAUGUGCCUUCCUUUUGAGAGAGAGAGAGCGAGGAAAGCAAAACAAGA
rnacentral:ribozyme from 1 species